rnacentral:rRNA from 1 species
CUCAUGUGAGACUACCCCCUGAAUUUAAGCAUAUCAAUAAGCGGAGGA